CUGUCAAAUCAUCUGCUUUGUCUGUCUACAGGCAGGUUGGGUUGAAAGGGAGCCCCCUUUCAAUCAUGUCCAUGUCCUAAUCUCUGGAACUUGUGAAUGUUGGAAAAAGGGUCUUUU
rnacentral:lncRNA from 1 species